CAUCUCUGGAAGGAAGGAAUGGGUGAAGUUUUGGGUCGAGAAGUCUGAAGAAGGGUCUCGACCCGAAACGUCACCCAUUCCUUCUCUCGAGAUGCUGCCUGUCCCGC